GACGAACCGUGCGAACGUUAUUCGGAAUCACUGGGCUUAAAGCGCGUGUAGGCGGGCGGGUACGUCGGCGACUGAAAGCCCCCGGCUCAACCGGGGAAGGGGUGCCGAAACGGCCGGCCUGGAGGGGCGUAGGGGGACCUGGAACUUCCGGUGGAGCGGUGAAAUGCGUUGAGAUCGGAAGGAACGCCCGUGGCGAAAGCGAGGUCCUGGACGCCAUCUGACGCUGAGACGCGAAAGCCAGGGGAGCGAACAGG
rnacentral:rRNA from 1 species